rnacentral:rRNA from 1 species
ACGGCUCAGUAACACGUGGAUAACCUGCCCUUGGGACCGGGAUAACCCCGGGAAACUGGGGAUAAACCCGGAUAGGUGAUGCUGCCUGGAAUGGUUCUUCACCGAAACACCUUCGGGUGCCCAAGGAUGGGUCUGCGGCCGAUUAGGUUGUUGGUAGGGUAACGGCCUACCAAGCCGAUCAUCGGUACGGGUUGUGAGAGCAAGAGCCCGGAGAUGGAACCUGAGACAAGGUUCCAGGCCCUACGGGGCGCGGCAGGCGCGAAACCUCCGCAAUGCACGCAAGUGCGACGGGGGAACCCCAAGUGCCACUCUUAACGGGGUGGCUUUUCAGAAGUGUAAAAAGCUUCUGGAAUAAGGGCUGGGCAAGACCGGUGCCAGCCGCCGCGGUAACACCGGCAGCUCAAGUGGUAGCCGCUUUUAUUGGGCCUAAAGCGUCCGUAGCCGGUCUGAUAAGUCUCUGGUGAAAUCCCACAGCUUAACUGUGGGAAUUGCUGGAGAUACUAUCAUGACUCGAGGUCGGGAGAGGCUGGAGGUACUCCCAGGGUAGGGGUGAAAUCCUGUAAUCCUGGGAGGACCACCUGUGGCGAAGGCGUCCAGCUGGAACGAACCUGACGGUGAGGGACGAAAGCCAGGGGCGCGAACCGGAUUAGAUACCCGGGUAGUCCUGGCCGUAAACGAUGUGGACUUGGUGUUGGGAUGGCUUCGAGCUGCCCCAGUGCCGAAGGGAAGCUGUUAAGUCCACCGCCUGGGAAGUACGGCCGCAAGGCUGAAACUUAAAGGAAUUGGCGGGGGAG